GUCCCUGUAGCGCAAUGGAUAGAUAGCGCGUUGAACUUUUUAUCCAAAGGUCGUGAGUUCAAAUUUUACCUGGGAUG